UACGGAGGGGGCUAGCGUUGUUCGGAAUUACUGGGCGUAAAGCGCGCGUAGGCGGACCUGCAAGUCGGGGGUGAAAGUCCUGAGGCUCAACCUCGAACUGCCUUCGAUACUGGCAAUCUCGAGUCCGGAAGAGGUUGGUGGAACAGCUAGUGUAGAGGUGAAAUUCGUAGAUAUUAGCUAGAACACCAGUGGCGAAGGCGGCCAACUGGUCCGGUACUGACGCUGAGGUGCGAAAGCGUGGGGAGCAAACAGG
rnacentral:rRNA from 1 species